GGGGAAUAUUGGACAAUGGGCGAAAGCCUGAUCCAGCCAUGCCGCGUGUGUGAAGAAGGUCUUCGGAUUGUAAAGCACUUUAAGUUGGGAGGAAGGGCUGCAAGUUAAUACCUUGUAGUUUUGACGUUACCAACAGAAUAAGCACCGGCUAACUUCGUGCCAGCAGCCGCGGUAAUACGAAGGGUGCAAGCGUUAAUCGGAAUUACUGGGCGUAAAGCGCGCGUAGGUGGUUUGGUAAGAUGGAUGUGAAAUCCCCGGGCUCAACCUGGGAACUGCAUCCAUAACUGCCUGACUAGAGUGCAGGAGAGGAAAGUGGAAUUCCCAGUGUAGCGGUGAAAUGCGUAGAUAUUGGGAGGAACACCAGUGGCGAAGGCGACUUUCUGGACUGUGUCUGACACUGAGGCGCGAAAGCCAGGGGAGCGAACG
rnacentral:rRNA from 1 species